rnacentral:rRNA from 1 species
UACGGGGGGGGCGAGCGUUGUUCGGAAUUACUGGGCGUAAAGGGUUCGUAGGUGGCUAACUAAGUCAGACGUGAAAUCCCUCAGCUUAACUGGGGAACUGCGUCUGAUACUGAUUGGCUCGAGUGCAGGAGAGGAAUGCGGAAUUCCAGGUGUAGCGGUGAAAUGCGUAGAUAUCUGGAGGAACACCGGUGGCGAAGGCGGCAUUCUGGACUGCAACUGACACUGAAGAACGAAAGCCAGGGGAGCAAACGGG